GACAGCGUGGUGUAGUGGUUUGAAUGCUAGACUACGACUCUGGGAGAUCAGGGUUCGAAUCCCUACUUCGGCA